AGUUUAGGUAAGUAAUGGGGAUGUAUGUUUAAUGUGAACCAUAAUAACUACGUGCAUGGUUAUGUGAUUGAUUCGGUUCAUCUCUUUCUGUGUUUGCAGGAUUACUCAAAAAGUGUAUUGAGAGAUUUGCAUGAAAUUAUUUUUUUCAUCAAAGAUAGGUCUUGGUGAUGUACAACAGGUAAUAAAAUUCAGGACUCUUUUUUGAAGGUGGAAGGUGUGAGAUUGCUCAGCAUUCUUGCUCUUGUUUGAUUUUCACCACAUAUAGUAUGAUAUAAAGAUUUUUAGUCCUAGAAUAACUAUGAGCAUAAACAGACAAGAACACUAACGUAUGCAUAUCUAAAAGGUCACAAAAUGUGUGCGGGUCCACAGAGGAAACAAAGGGGCAUUAAAAUAUGCCUUAGUUGUGGAAAAAACAGCAGAUCAAAGCAACCUCACUGGAGUCACACCCUUUACUCUCAUGUGUUCUACACUGACCAAAUGCUGACCACACACAGCGAUGAAGUGAUACAGCAUGAAGGGGCAAUCUGGUGCUUCAAGCUAAACCAAACAAAUAGAGAUUGCCGAUUCAAAAGAGGCGACAUUUCAUUUGGAUCGCCUGCCAUUAGUUCAGGAGGCAUUGGGCAUGUAGAAAGUGGGGCAGAGGUCCAGGCUGUGCAUCCCCCACAUUUGAAGAGAAGAAACAGAGAUAAAACCAGAUGAGAGGAAUCGUUUCCCAUGGAGGCUGAAGGAGGGGUGAGGAGUUGAGAAGGCUCAAGAGAAAUCUUCCUGUGAAAAAGUGGCCGAGAGGAGUUCACAACAGUCUCUUUGUGGGUGGACUACGCUGGGGGCUCCCUGCUGAACUGUGCAAUGCCUGGACUGCUUGUUAAAUACACGAAUGUAACAUCCAAAAAUCUGUUUCCACUAAAAUAUUGCCUCAGACUUUACAGCAGUGGACACUGGGGUAAGAGAGUAUCCUCAAGGAAAAGAUGGCAGAUUGUGGAGAACUGCCCUGGCGACAGACGACCUGCCAGUGAGGAAGAAAUGUCUCGGAGUGAAGGAAAGGGCCCAAACCCACUCGACUAGCCAGGGCUCGGUAGAUUUUGGUUUGGCACUGAGCUGCCUUUCCCCACGUUCACAAGUCAAUGGAAACCAAUGGUAUCUCGUUCCGUUUAAAUGAAGUCAACAUCCAAAAUGAUUGUACACAUAAGAGGGAAGAAAAUUGCCAUUGAAAAACAUCUGUUGUGUCGUCUUGGAAAUAAACCAGGAAGAAAAAGUAAAAGUCUUGCAUAGCCAAAAUGUCCACAGUGCUGUCAAAGAGGGGCCUCUGACACACGAGCCUUGGAUACAAGGUGAGGAUAAAAC